GCUAUUUUGGCAGAAGAUAUGCGUUGGACUUAGGAUCCUAUAAAAUAGAAUUAGUCUAUA
rnacentral:tRNA from 1 species